GAUGAACGCUGGCGGCGUGCUUAACACAUGCAAGUCGAACGGAAAGGCCCAAGCUUGCUUGGGUACUCGAGUGGCGAACGGGUGAGUAACACGUGGGUGAUCUGCCCUGCACUUCGGGAUAAGCCUGGGAAACUGGGUCUAAUACCGGAUAGGACCACAUUUUGGAUGGUGUGGUGGAAAGUUUUUCGGUGUGGGAUGAGCUCGCGGCCUAUCAGCUUGUUGGUGGGGUAAUGGCCUACCAAGGCGUCGACGGGUAGCCGGCCUGAGAGGGUGUACGGCCACAUUGGGACUGGGAUACGGCCCAGACUCCUACGGGAGGCAGCAGUGGGGAAUAUUGCACAAUGGGCGCAAGCCUGAUGCAGCGACGCCGCGUGGGGGAUGACGGCCUUCGGGUUGUAAACUCCUUUCGCUAGGGACGAAGCGUUUUUGUGACGGUACCUGGAGAAGAAGCACCGGCUAACUACGUG
rnacentral:rRNA from 1 species